rnacentral:sRNA from 1 species
AAGAAAGUGACUGCCGCCCCGCACAGGGGCAGUGCAAAUAGACCGACGCGAAUACAGGAUUUAACGAAAGCGCAAAACACCCAAACUGAAAUAAGGAUCCAGAAAUGA